GUGCAACAGUCGCGAAACCUUCGCAAUGCGGGAAACCGCGACGAGGGGACUCCCAGUGCCUACGCUCAGCGUAGGCUGUUCCCGAGCCUAGAAAGCUCGGGGAGUAAGGGCUGGGUAAGACGGGUGCCAGCCGCCGCGGUAAUACCCGCAGCCCGAGUGGUGGCCACUAUUGUUGGGCCUAAAGCGUCCGUAGCCGGCCCGGUAAAUGCCUGGGUAAAUCGUGAGGCCUAACCUCACGAAUUCCGGGUAGACUGCCGGGCUAGGGACCGGAGGAGGGAGAGGGGUACUCCAGGGGUAGGGGUGAAAUCCUGUAAUCCCUGGAGGACCACCGGUGGCGAAGGCGCUCUCCUAGGACGGGUCCGACGGUGAGGGACGAAAGCCAGGGGAGCGAACCGGAUUAGAUACCCCUGUAGUCCCUA
rnacentral:rRNA from 1 species